AAGGGAAGAUCAAUACUGGCUUUCCAACAGGAAAGAAAUGCAGCAGCUGAAGAAAUCUUCUGGGAUAUCCAUGAAAGAACUCUGGGAGCGGAAGACUAAACUUGAGAGCAGCACUGCAUUGCAGGGACAGAGGGAAUGCCAUGCCUAGAUCAGCCAGCUUAAAGAAUGACUAAUGAGGUUCCUGCUCUUAACAUGGCAGCCAGUGAGGAGGGGCUCCAAAGCUGAAGAGACCCGAAAGAAAUAGAACUCCAGUUACUGCCUUGGAUCCAUCGACAGAGACACCAGACUGUCAAACACUAAAUCAGAGAGUAUAUUUCCUGCUGCUUCCAUCACAUCAAAAAGACACAGAGAGCCAGAGAGACUCCCCAUGGUGACUUUCAGACAUGACAUUUCCGCAUCAUUUCUGUCUCAGUUGAGGCAACUAUUUGUGGCAUUUAAAUACUGUGCUAUACAAUCGUAUUCUUAUUGUCUUAACCCCACACUUUUUUAAAGCUCACUCUGGCACAUUCAGCACAAAAAGCCAAAAUCAAUGGUUCUGCUUUCAAUAAGCUCUCUGGGAAAUGGAACACAAGAAAUCAUUGGGUAGCUAACUGCCAGUCUGCAUAUGUCACUUUCUGACUGUUGCCAGUCAGAAAACAUUUUAUCUCAUUAGAUUCUGUAACAUUUAGGAUUUGAGUGUUCUAGAUAGAGCACUGGUCACCUUUCCCCCUUUUAGUCACCCGUUUAAAUUAAGGUCGACGGAGCCAUGUAGAUG